rnacentral:rRNA from 1 species
GAUGAACGCUGGCGGCGUGCCUAAUACAUGCAAGUCGAGCGAACGGACGAGAAGCUUGCUUCUCUGAUGUUAGCGGCGGACGGGUGAGUAACACGUGGAUAACCUACCUAUAAGACUGGGAUAACUUCGGGAAACCGGAGCUAAUACCGGAUAAUAUUUUGAACCGCAUGGUUCAAAAGUGAAAGACGGUCUUGCUGUCACUUAUAGAUGGAUCCGCGCUGCAUUAGCUAGUUGGUAAGGUAACGGCUUACCAAGGCAACGAUGCAUAGCCGACCUGAGAGGGUGAUCGGCCACCCUGGAACUGAGACACGGUCCAGACUCCUACGGGAGGCAGCAGUAGGGAAUCUUCCGCAAUGGGCGAAAGUCUGACGGAGCAACGCCGCGUGAGUGAUGAAGGUCUUCGGAUCGUAAAACUCUGUUAUUAGGGAAGAACAUAUGUGUAAGUAACUGUGCACAUCUUGACGGUACCUAAUCAGAAAGCCACGGCUAACUACGUG